CCGGUAAACGGCGGCCGUAACUAUAACGGUCCUAAGGUAGCGAAAUUCCUUGUCGGGUAAGUUCCGACCUGCACGAAUGGCGUAAUGAUGGCCAGGCUGUCUCCACCCGAGACUCAGUGAAAUUGAACUCGCUGUGAAGAUGCAGUGUACCCGCGGCAAGACGGAAAGACCCCGUGAACCUUUACUAUAGCUUGACACUGAACAUUGAGCCUUGAUGUGUAGGAUAGGUGGGAGGCUUUGAAGUGUGGACGCCAGUCUGCAUGGAGCCGACCUUGAAAUACCACCCUUUAAUGUUUGAUGUUCUAACGUUGGCCCCUAAUCGGGGUUGCGGACAGUGUCUGGUGGGUAGUUUGACUGGGGCGGUCUCCUCCUAAAGAGUAACGGAGGAGCACGAAGGUUGGCUAAUCCUGGUCGGACAUCAGGAGGUUAGUGCAAUGGCAUAAGCCAGCUUGACUGCGAGCGUGACGGCGCGAGCAGGUGCGAAAGCAGGUCAUAGUGAUCCGGUGGUUCUGAAUGGAAGGGCCAUCGCUCAACGGAUAAAAGGUACUCCGGGGAUAACAGGCUGAUACCGCCCAAGAGUUCAUAUCGACGGCGGUGUUUGGCACCUCGAUGUCGGCUCAUCACAUCCUGGGGCUGAAGUAGGUCCCAAGGGUAUGGCUGUUCGCCAUUUAAAGUGGUACGCGAGCUGGGUUUAGAACGUCGUGAGACAGUUCGGUCCCUAUCUGCCGUGGGCGCUGGAGAACUGAGGGGGGCUGCUCCUAGUACGAGAGGACCGGAGUGGACGCAUCACUGGUGUUCGGGUUGUCAUGCCAAUGGCACUGCCCGGUAGCUAAAUGCGGAAGAGAUAAGUGCUGAAAGCAUCUAAGCACGAAACUUGCCCCGAGAUGAGUUCU
rnacentral:rRNA from 1 species